AGAGUUUGAUCCUGGCUCAGGAUGAACGCUAGCGGCAGGCUUAACACAUGCAAGUCGAAGGGCAACGGGGAGAGUGCUUGCACUCUCUGCCGGCGACUGGCGCACGGGUGAGUAACACGUAUGCAACCUGCCCUCCACAGGGGGACAACCUUCCGAAAGGGAGGCUAAUCCCGCGUAUAUCCCUUGGGGGCAUCCUUGGGGGAGGAAAGGAUUACCGGUGGAGGAUGGGCAUGCGGCGCAUUANGCAGUAGGCGGGGUAACGGCCCACCUAACCGACGAUGCGUAGGGGUUCUGAGAGGAAGGUCCCCCACACUGGUACUGAGACACGGACCAGACUCCUACGGGAGGCAGCAGUGAGGAAUAUUGGUCAAUGGGCGGGAGCCUGAACCAACCAAGCCGCGUGAAGGAAGAAGGCGCCAAGCGUCGUAAACUUCUUUUGUCGGGGAACAAAGGGCGCCACGUGUGGCGUUGUGAGUGUACCCGAAGAAAAAGCAUCGGCUAACUCCGUGCCAGCAGCCGCGGUAAUACGGAGGAUGCGAGCGUUAUCCGGAUUUAUUGGGUUUAAAGGGUGCGU
rnacentral:rRNA from 1 species